rnacentral:lncRNA from 1 species
GCUCCUCCAAGGUCCACAUAUUUAACUUGUUUAUUCUUUACAGUGAAGGUUCUUCCACCGACCCUGUCAUUGGCUUCCAGCAACACAACAUUCAAGCCUGCUUCAGUCAAUAGUUUGGCAGCUGAGAGACCUGAUAUGCCGCCCCCGACCACAACCACGUCGCAUUUCUGUGCCAUGGCGCUGCCCCCCGCACCGACCGCUGCCUCCCACCCUGUCG